rnacentral:rRNA from 1 species
AUACGGAGGGGGCUAGCGUUGUUCGGAUUUACUGGGCGUAAAGCGCGCGUAGGCGGUAUAUCAAGUUAGGCGUGAAAGCCCCGGGCUCAACCCGGGAACUGCGCUUAUUACUGAUAAACUAGAGUCCGGGAGAGGGUGGCGGAAUUCCCAGUGUAGAGGUGAAAUUCGUAGAUAUUGGGAAGAACACCAGUUGCGAAGGCGGCCACCUGGACCGGUACUGACGCUGAGGUGCGAAAGCGUGGGGAGCAAACAGGAUUAGAUACCCCAGUAGUCC